AGCUCUGUAAGCGUAUACCAAAGUUGUUGCAGUUAAAACGCUCGUAGUCGGACUUUGGCGGGCGACCAGGGGCGUCUUCACGGACGUGUUUUGGUUGGCCGCCUUUGUGGAGGGGGGCCCAGUGGUGCUUCACUGCGCUACUGUGGUCGCUGCCACCUUUUACUGUGAAAAAAUUAGAGUGUUCAAAGCGGGCGUUUGCCAUGAAUACAUUAGCAUGGAAUAAUAGAAUAGGACCUGUCUCCUGUUUUGUUGGUUUGUGAGGAUCGGGUAAUGAUUAAGAGGGACGGUUGGGGGCAUUUGUAUUCCGGCGUCAGAGGUGAAAUUCUUGGAUUGUCGGAAGACAAACGGCUGCGAAAGCGUCUGCCAAGGACGUUUUCA
rnacentral:rRNA from 1 species